GAUGAACGCUGGCGGCGUGCCUAAUACAUGCAAGUCGAGCGAACGGACGAGAAGCUUGCUUCUCUGAUGUUAGCGGCGGACGGGUGAGUAACACGUGGAUAACCUACCUAUAAGACUGGGAUAACUUCGGGAAACCGGAGCUAAUACCGGAUAAUAUUUUGAACCGCAUGGUUCAAAAGUGAAAGACGGUCUUGCUGUCACUUAUAGAUGGAUCCGCGCUGCAUUAGCUAGUUGGUAAGGUAACGGCUUGCCAAGGCAACGAUGCAUAGCCGACCUGAGAGGGUGGUCGGCCACACUGGAACGGAGACCCGGUCCAGACUCCUACGGGGGGCAGCAGUAGGGAAUCUUCCGCAAGGGGCGAAAGCCUGACGGACCAACGCCGCGUGAGUGAUGAAGGUCUUCGGAUCGGAAAACUCUUUUAUUAGGGAAAAACAUAUGUGUAAGUAACUGUGCACAUCUUGACGGUACCUAAUCAGAAAGCCACGGCUACCUACG
rnacentral:rRNA from 1 species